rnacentral:lncRNA from 1 species
CCCAAGAAACCUUACUGUCAAGAGUUUUAGUAAUCAUUCCUGAAUUCUUUUACCAGCACCUAGGUCUAUUGAACCUUAAUUAGCACUUCGUAAUGUGGAAACAGUCUGAGCCAACCUAGACAUAGAAACACUCAAAGGAAUUUUAGAAGAAUUUUUAAUUUUAAAAUUAUUCUCUUUCCCAUGCGUAAUUUUGUUUAUUUUCCUUGUAGCACGAAAGCCCCCAUUUUUACUCCCUAAUAUUUUCCUCGAACUCCGAAUUUUAUUAACACCCAAAGCUGAAACAGUGGCCCCCCUCAAUUGAGCACCAUUAGCUGAAUCUUUCUCUUUGAACGAUACAACAAUAUGUCUGAUGAGGUUUAAACCACCAGGGGAAUGACCUACCUGUACUGCAACCGGCUCUGACAACGAAGAAGUUGACUCGGAUGAAAGAGAGGGGCCACCAUCUUCACUCACCUCCUGACCUACAAAAAACGGAUUAAAGCAAGAAACAGUCGCUGUUGUUGAAUUGGAAUGGUUAGUGGAAGCUUUAAAAAUCUUAGCACCAAUCGAAACUUUAAAA